AUAAUCUGUUAAUGAAGAGAGCUAUCCGUCGACAGUAUUGACAUAAACACUGUCAUGGAGUUGCUCUCUUUAUGAACGGAUGC
rfam:Danaus plexippus plexippus isolate F-2 unplaced genomic scaffold DPSCF300470, whole genome shotgun sequence.